rnacentral:rRNA from 1 species
UACGUAGGUGGCAAGCGUUGUCCGGAUUUACUGGGCGUAAAGAGCGCGCAGGCGGUCGUUCAAGUCGCGUGUGAAAGCCCCCGGCUCAACUGGGGAGGGUCACGCGAUACUGAUCGACUCGAAGGCAGGAGAGGGAAGUGGAAUUCCUGGUGUAGCGGUGAAAUGCGCAGAUAUCAGGAGGAACACCGGUGGCGAAGGCGGGUCUCUGGGCCGAAAUUGACGCUGAGGAGCGAAAGCGUGGGGAGCAAACAGG